GACGAACGCUGGCGGCGGGCUUAACACAUGCAAGUCGAACGGAAAGGCCCCGCUUUUGUGGGGUGCUCGAGGGGCGAACGGGUGUGUAACGCGUGAGUAACCUGCCUUGUACGUUGUGAUAACUGCAGGAAACUGGGGCUAAUACCUGAGAGGAGCGGCGGCUGCAUUUUGGGGGUUGGAAAGUUUCGGCGGUUGGGUAGGGAGUCGGGGCUUAUCAGGUUGUUGGUGGGGUAGUGGAUUACCAAGGCUUUGACGGGUAGCAGGCCUGAGGGGGUGACCGGCCCAAUUGGGACUGGGAUAAGGCACAGACUCCUACGGGAGGCAGCAGUGGGGAAUAUUACACAAUGGGAGGAAGCCUGAUGCAGUCACGCCGCGUGCGGGAUGAGGAGAUUGGGGUUGUAAAGCGCUUCCGCCUGGGACGAAACGUGAGUGACGGUACUGGGAAAAGAAGCACCGGCAAACUACGUG
rnacentral:rRNA from 1 species